AGAGUUUGAUCCUGGCUCAGGACGAACGCUGGCGGCGUGCCUAAUACAUGCAAGUCGAGCGGAGUUGUGAGAGAGCUUGCUCUCGAUCAGCUUAGCGGCGGACGGGUGAGUAACACGUAGGCAACCUGCCCAUAAGACCGGGAUAACAUUCGGAAACGAAUGCUAAGACCGGAUACGCAGCGAGGUCGCAUGAUCUUGCUGGGAAACACGGCGCAAGCUGUGGCUUAUGGAUGGGCCUGCGGCGCAUUAGCUAGUUGGUGAGGUAACGGCCCACCAAGGCGACGAUGCGUAGCCGACCUGAGAGGGUGAACGGCCACACUGGGACUGAGACACGGCCCAGACUCCUACGGGAGGCAGCAGUAGGGAAUCUUCCACAAUGGACGCAAAUCUGAUGGAGCAACGCCGCGUGAGUGAGGAAGGCCUUCGGGUCGUAAAGCUCUG
rnacentral:rRNA from 1 species